CCGCCUCCCGCCCAGCCCGGCUGUCAGGCUCCCGAGCCGCGUCCAAAUUUAGGCCGGAGAGGCCGGGCGUGGCUGCGCGCGCGCCCCAGAACAAAGGCGCGCGCUUCGGGGGAGAACCCGGCCCACGCGGGGUGGGAGGGGGGCGCCCCAAAGCGGGUCCCCCCGAACCCCACGGAGUUCGGAAACCGAAUUGCACCGCUCCCAGGCCUGGCGACUGACUAUUCGGAGCUGGGGAUUUUGAGAAAAAAAAGGAAAAUGCUCAGCUUCAAAUUUCUGCUCGAGUGUCCGCAGUGGGCGCCCAGCCAACAUCUCAGGCCGUGAAAUCGGCCUGAGUCACCCUCUGGCAUCGCACCCGCCGGUCCGAGCCCAGGAUCUGCGAGUGAUUUGCACUUGGCUGCUCCUCCCGGGGCUGACGGUCUACCCACUGAACCACACCGGCCAGGGCUGUUCACUCGUUCUUGGGAACCACUGCCAUAGAAGGAAGUGGCAUUCAUGUCUCCAAAAGGGGGUGGAAGAACGUUCUGGGCGCAGGAAUUAGCACGUGCAAAGAGAGCGAGAGAAAGAUCUACGAGGAGAGAGAAUCAUGGACCGGCCGCCUCUUGCACGCCCCCCACUGGGGAUGGAGCCCGCAACCCGGGCCUGUGCCCUUGACCGGGAAUCGAACCCUGACCUCCCGGUUCCUAGGCCGACGCCAACCACUGAGCCACCCUGGCCGGACCGUGAAAUCUCCUUUUGUCCGCCGUUCCUGGCCAACCGCCCGAUGCCAUCGUAUUCUUCGCCGGGAUGAAGAAUGAGCCGCUCCGAACGCAAAGGGCCCGGUGGUUGACACCGAACAUGAAUCUCACCACUUAGGGAAUAAUUCAGUUGCAUAAUUUAAACAGCAAAACGCAAUCCAUCGUCCGCCCUCCGCUGGCCAAGGGCCGGCGAAGCCACUGUCCCCUCCUGGGACCCCAAUCGGUAACCCGUUGGCGUUUGUCAUGGAGCAGAAAUAAACACCAUAUUUUUCUGGGGCUAAUGAGACAU